UACGAAGGGGGCGAGCGUUGCUCGGAAUCACUGGGCGUAAAGGGCGCGUAGGCGGGGAGGUAAGUCGGGUGUGAAAUCCCUCGGCCCAACCGAGGAACUGCGCCCGAGACUGCUUCUCUUGAGUCCCGGAGAGGAAGAUGGAAUUCCCGGUGUAGCGGUGAAAUGUGUAGAGAUCGGGAGGAACACCGGUGGCGAAGGCGGUCUUCUGGACGGUGACUGACGCUGAGGCGCGAAAGCGUGGGGAGCAAACGGG
rnacentral:rRNA from 1 species